UGCCAGCAGCCGCGGUAAUACGAAAGGGGCAAACGUUAUUCAGAAUAAUUGGGCGUAAAGAGUUCGUAGGCAGUUUGUGCAGUUGUUAGUAAAAAAUUAAGGCUUAACCUUAAAAACGCUUUCAAAACCAACAAACUUGAGUUUAAAAGAGGAUAGUGGAAUUUUUAAUGUAGGGGUAAAAUCCACAGAUAUUAAAAGGAACACCAGAGGCGAAAGCGACUAUCUGGUUUAAAACUGACGCUGAGGAACGAAAGCAUGGUGAGCAAACAGGAUUAGAUA
rnacentral:rRNA from 1 species